GAUGAACGCUAGCGGCAGGCUUAACACAUGCAAGUCGAGGGGUAGAGGCUUUCGGGCCUUGAGACCGGCGCACGGGUGCGUAACGCGUAUGCAAUCUGCCUUGUACUGGGGGAUAGCCCAGAGAAAUUUGGAUUAAUACCCCAUAGUAUUUUCGGUUGGCAUCAACUGAUUAUUAAAGUUUUCGGUACAAGAUGAGCAUGCGUCCCAUUAGCUAGUUGGUAUGGUAACGGCAUACCAAGGCUACGAUGGGUAGGGGUCCUGAGAGGGAGAUCCCCCACACUGGUACUGAGACACGGACCAGACUCCUACGGGAGGCAGCAGUGAGGAAUAUUGGUCAAUGGUCGCAAGACUGAACCAGCCAUGCCGCGUGCAGGAUGAAGCAUCUAUGGUGUGUAAACUGCUUUUGUACGGGAAGAAACACUGCUACGUGUAGCAGCUUGACGGUACCGUAAGAAUAAGGAUCGGCUAACUCCGUGCCAGCAGCCGCCGUAAUAC
rnacentral:rRNA from 1 species